GGUUACCUUGUUACGACUUAGAGUCUGAGCCAGGAUCAAACUCUAAAGGGAGCGUAGGCGGUUGUUAAGUCAGUUGUGAAAGUUUGCGGCUCAACCGUAAAAUUGCAGUUGAUACUGGCAUCCUUGAGUACAGUAGAGGUAGGCGGAAUUCGUGGUGUACCAAGGCAUCGAUGGAUAGGGGUUCUGAGAGGAAGGUCCCCCACAUUGGAACUGAGACACGGUCACUGACGCUGAUGCUCGAAAGUGUGGGUAUCAAACAGGAUUAGAUACCCUGGUAGUCCACACAGUAAACGAUGAAUACUCGCUGUUUGCGAUAUACAGAAACCUAGUAAGCGGCCAAGCGAAAGCGUUAAGUAUUCCACCUGGGGAGUACGCCGGCAACGGUGAAACUCAAAGGAAUUGACGGGGGCCCGCACAAGCGGAGUAACAUGUGGUUUAAUUCGAUGAUACGCGAGGAACCUUACCCGGGCUUGAAUUGCAAAUGAACGGCGUGGAGACAUGCCGGCCGCAAGGCAUUUGUGAAGGUGCUGCAUGGUUGUCGUCAGCUCGUGCCGUGAGGUGUCGGCUUAAGUGCCAUAACGAGCGCAACCCUUACCGAUAGUUACCAUCAGGUGG
rnacentral:rRNA from 1 species